UCUUUUUGGUGAUUAAAACAUAUGACAAGUGUGAUGUAACCCAUUGUAUUCUGUUAAACCAUGUGGAUAAUCAAGGCAUUUGUAUGAGAGAA
rnacentral:snoRNA from 1 species